rnacentral:rRNA from 1 species
UACGUAGGGGGCAAGCGUUGUCCGGAAUCAUUGGGCGUAAAGAGCGUGUAGGUUGUUCGAUAAGUCUGCUGUGAAAGUCCAGGGCUCAACCCUGGGAUGCCGGUGGAUACUGUCUGACUAGAGUACGGAAGAGGCGAGUGGAAUUCCCGGUGUAGCGGUGAAAUGCGCAGAUAUCGGGAGGAACACCAAUUGCGAAGGCAGCUCGCUGGGACGUUACUGACACUGAGACGCGAAAGCGUGGGGAGCAAACAGG